rnacentral:rRNA from 1 species
UACGAAGGGGGCUAGCGUUGCUCGGAAUCACUGGGCGUAAGGCGCACGUAGGCGGCUUUUUAAGCCGGGGGUGAAAUCUCGGGGCUUAACUCCGAAACUGCAUUCGAUACUGCCGUGCUUGAGGACUGGAGAGGAGACUGGAAUUUACGGUGUAGCGGUGAAAUGCGUAGAUAUCGUAAGGAAGACCAGUGGCGAAGGCGGGUCUCUGGACAGUUCCUGACGCUGAGGCACGAAGGCCAGGGGAGCAAACGGG